GAACAGGUCCUACUUGGCAUAGGAGAAUACCUACAGGCCUUUGGAUCUGUCUAUAUUGAAGGCUUCUCUGGGUGCCUACAGUGUGUUAGACCCUGAACUUCGUCCACGUGGAUGGAGAAAGAAGUGCUCUCAGAAACAGGGUAGGAAGAAGACCAAGGUGAAAACACGACUAGACAAAAAUACCUUGGGAAAGUUGAUGAACUGUGGUUGGUUCAGGAGAGCUGGAGGUACACAAGACAAAGGGCAGAGACAAAGAUGAGGAGAGAAGACACGUCAGAAUUCGUCACACCGAAGGACUAAGUUAUUACAGGAUGCAACAGAAUGUCUUAAAAACAAAACAAAACUGGCCCACCCCAACAUCUACCCCGUCUGCAAACUGCUGGAGCAUGUGAAGGGACCAGACCUGCAGAACCAAAGAUGCAAGAUCUCCACGACACAGGACAACAACAGGAUAUCAGAGAGGAGUUCCAGUGAGGAUCCAGUAUUGACAGUGUAGCAGAAGCCAGAGGCCUAGAACCAGACCAAUGCCUCAUUGCAAAGAACAUUUACAAGUAAAGAUGUGUGGACAAAAGGGAAUACUGUGGGACACACUGUGACACACCACAGCUUCCACAGCAACAUGGCAUUUAUUUAUUUAUUUAUUUAUUUAUUUUUAUUUUCUUUUGGGGGGAGGUUGCAAGGGCAGAGGAUGCGGAGGGUAUGGAAGGAUGAAUAUGGAGAUGGGAAGAUGAGUGGG